GUCGCGAGGCCGAAUCUGAAGGAAGUCGGCGGCAAACGUCUGGCCUGACGUACAGAAACUUGAUAUCAAGGCAGUCCAAGGUGGGUAAGGUUGCUAUAGAAACCAAAGCCCGAUAGCUAUACGGAACCGCGGCUGUAAAUCAAGCAGGUAUAAGGCGGAAAGACU
rnacentral:ncRNA from 1 species